AUGACAUUGGCGCUGACGGCGGCCGAGCAGCCGAGGGAGAACCGGUCUGGGUCUUCCUUGGUGCAUACAGUCUUCUCGUGCUCGUGGUGUCAUGUGGCAGGCACAUGCAUGCGCCCGCCCUGGUCUGGAGCACGGAAGGACCGGGCAUGGCGAGGGGAGGGGAACGAGAGCGGAGAGCCGAGUCCACUCACGUCGGUCAGCUGCUGCGUUUCUUCAUCCUCGUGCUGUGCUGCAGCUGGGCAUGGACAAGGACGUCGGGUGUCGCGCGCCCCGACCGAUGUGUUGUUGUGUGGACACGGUAGUCCGUUCAGAAAUCAGAAAUCUCUGUGUUUGGUGGGGUUGAAAUAG
rnacentral:rRNA from 1 species